rnacentral:lncRNA from 1 species
GGGAGAGAGAGAGAGAGAGAGAGAGAGAGAGAGAGAGAGAGAGAGAGAGAGAGAGAGAGAGCGCUCCAUGACUUGGUCACAUUGGCGUAGCCAAGGGCCUAGACACCGAUAGACUUGCGCCAAGUCUCUCUUUCAUUGUCAUGUAGUAUCGAUCCACUAUAGUGUACAUUACAUGACGUAGCACGGAGAGCCGGAGCGAGAAAAUCUCGGUUCAAAACUGAACCGAAAAUGCAAGACUUGCUUUAAUAGACACUUCCCGAAUUUGC